GACGUAGGGGGCGAGCGUUGUCCGGAAUUACUGGGCGUAAAGAGCACGUAGGUGGACCAUUAAGUCAGGUGUGAAAGACCGGGGCUCAACUCCGGGGUUGCACUUGAAACUGGUGGUCUUGAGGGCAGGAGAGGAAAGUAGAAUUCCUGGUGUAGCGGUGAAAUGCGUAGAAAUCAGGAGGAAUACCAGUGGCGAAGGCGGCUUUCUGGACUGUCCCUGACACUGAGGUGCGAAAGCGUGGGGAGCAAACAGG
rnacentral:rRNA from 2 species